AGAGGAAGUAAAAGUCGUAACAAGGUUUCCGUAGGUGAACCUGCGGAAGGAUCAUUACCUAGAGUUGUAGGCUUUGCCUGCUAUCUCUUACCCAUGUCUUUUAAGUACCUUACGUUUCCUCGGCGGGUCCGCCCGCCGAUUGGACAAUUUAAACCAUUUGCAGUUGCAAUCAGCGUCUGAAAAAACUUAAUAGUUACAACUUUCAACAACGGAUCUCUUGGUUCUGGCAUCGAUGAAGAACGCAGCGAAAUGCGAUAAGUAGUGUGAAUUGCAGAAUUCAGUGAAUCAUCGAAUCUUUGAACGCACAUUGCGCCCCUUGGUAUUCCAUGGGGCAUGCCUGUUCGAGCGUCAUUUGUACCUUCAAGCUCUGCUUGGUGUUGGGUGUUUGUCUCGCCUCUGCGUGUAGACUCGCCUCAAAACAAUUGGCAGCCGGCGUAUUGAUUUCGGAGCGCAGUACAUCUCGCGCUUUGCACUCAUAACGACGACGUCCAAAAGUACAUUUUUACACUCUGACCUC
rnacentral:sRNA from 1 species